rnacentral:rRNA from 1 species
AUACAGAGGGUCCAAGCGUUAUCCGGAAUCAUUGGGUUUAAAGGGUCCGUAGGCGGGCAAUUAAGUCAGAGGUGAAAUCCCACGGCUCAACUGUGGAACUGCCUUUGAUACUGGUUGUCUUGAAUUAUAGUGAAGUAGAUAGAAUAUGUAGUGUAGCGGUGAAAUGCUUAGAUAUUACAUAGAAUACCGAUUGCGAAGGCAGUCUACUAACUGUAUAUUGACGCUGAUGGACGAAAGCGUGGGGAGCGAACAGGAUUAGAAACCCCAGUAGUCC